GGGGCCCGCACAAGCGGUGGAGCAUGUGGUUUAAUUCGAUGCAACGCGAAGAACCUUACCUACCCUUGACAUCCUCGGAAGCCGAAAGAGAUUUCGGUGUGCCUUCGGGAACCGAGAGACAGGUGCUGCAUGGCUGUCGUCAGCUCGUGUUGUGAAAUGUUGGGUUAAGUCCCGUAACGAGCGCAACCCUUGUCCCUAUUUGCCAGCGAUUCGGUCGGGAACUCUAGGGAGACUGCCGGUGACAAACCGGAGGAAGGUGGGGACGACGUCAAGUCAUCAUGGACCUUACGGGUAGGGCUACACACGUGCUACAAUGGUCGGUACAAAGGGUUGCGAGUCCGCGAGGCCAAGCCAAUCCCGUAAAGCCGAUCUCAGUCCGGAUCGGAGUCUGCAACUCGACUCCGUGAAGUCGGAAUCGCUAGUAAUCGUGAAUCAGAAUGUCACGGUGAAUACGUUCCCGGGCCUUGUACACACCGCCCGUCACACCAUGGGAGUGGACUGCACCAGAAGUGGUUAGCCUAACCUUCGGGAGGGCGAUCACCACGGUGUGGCUCAUGACUGGGGUGAAGUCGUAACAAGGUAACCAAGGGCGA
rnacentral:rRNA from 1 species